CCUCAUUUUAAUUAUCUUCGUUUUCAUGCAAUCCCCACUGGUGCUCAAUCAAGUCAUUCUGGCGGGUUAUGUGCUAGUAUGGCUCUUGCACAUCAGUGUACCGUUGAACGAUCAAUUCAUUGUAACGUCCAUCGCAUUCCAACGGCUCGUGUUACACUGGAUCUUCGGUCCGAUCAGGAGCACAGUAGAUACGUGUUCUUGAGUUGUUCAUCGGAUCCGGCUCAUAUUCAUCGACGGCAUCAUAAUCAUACUCAUCUUCAACAAUCAUGUUGUGGAGAAUAAUACACGUCAUGGAUCGAAGAGCCUCGACAUCAAACAUUCUAGCUGCAGCCUUGAUAAUUGCCCAACACGUCAUCGUGAUUGGUUGAAAAUUUUAUCGAAAUCUGGGCUAAAUUAUUGUAAACCGGAAGUGACACGUGGCGUGUUGGGAUUGGUCGAAAAUAUUAUCGGAAAUCUAUCCACAAAAUAGUACGUUCGGAUAAUG
rnacentral:lncRNA from 1 species